ACCUAAACCUGACAGAAACGGCAGCCUCCGAUUUUUUCUAUCGGAGCUAUAGUGUAUGGCAGGACUGCAA
rnacentral:misc_RNA from 1 species